GCGCAGCAGGCGCGAAUACUCCGCAAUGCCCGAAAGGGUGACGGGGGAUUCCAAGUGCCUACGCUUAGCGUAGGCUGUUCAGGUGCCUAAAAGCACCUGGAGGAAGGGCUGGGUAAGACGGGUGCCAUCUGUGGCAGCAGCCAAGAUUUGGCUUGCUACUGCAAGGCAUAAGCCGCCGCGGUAAUACCCGCAGCCCGAGUGGUAGUCGCUUUUAUUGGGCCUAAAGCGUCCGUAGCCGGUCUGGUAAAUGCCUGGGUAAAUCGUGGGGCUUAACCUCACGAAUUCCGGGUAGACUGCCAGACUUGGGACCGGUUGAGGGAGAGGGUACUCCAGGGGUAGGGUGAAAUCAGCAAGGUAAGCUGAUGUAACUUGCCUUGCAA
rnacentral:rRNA from 1 species